rnacentral:tRNA from 1 species
AGGCAGUUAGUCCAAAGAAAUACCUCUGAUUUCGGCUCAGAAAAUUAUGGUUCAAGUCCAUAACCGCCUU